UACGUAGGGUGCGAGCGUUAAUCGGAAUUACUGGGCGUAAAGCGUGCGCAGGCGGCUUCGCAAGUCAGACGUGAAAGCCCCGGGCUCAACCUGGGAAUUGCAUUCGAGACUGCAUGGCUAGGGUGCGGAAGAGGGAAGCGGAAUUUCCGGUGUAGCGGUGAAAUGCGUAGAUAUCUGGAGGAACACCGGUGGCGAAGGCGGCAUCCUGGACCGGUAUUGACGCUGAGGCGCGAAAGCCAGGGGAGCAAACGGG
rnacentral:rRNA from 1 species